GGCUCGGUGGUGGAUGGUUCACACCUGUAUGUUGUAAUCGAAUGGAAUUUCUUCAAGCAGGAGAAGCCUGUUCGAAUCAGGCCCGAGCCA